CAGAAGGAAGGGAUUGGCCAGGGUACACUCUGACUGUACACAUUGUCCACACGUUUGCUGCAACAAAGCUAUAGUUUUUUUGUUGCUUUUUUUAAGCAUCUUAUGCUUUUGGGGCGAACACACUCCAGUAUAACUGAGCAUUUUUAACAUAAAUGAGCACUGUGUUCGUCAGUGCAGGCUGGAGCUUGUGCAGCUCAGACAUCCAUCUGGCUCUCGGGGUGUAGGUGCGGUGCCUCUCCACUGCGCUGCAGCCGCUGUUGCUGCAGGGGGAGCAUUCGUCCAUCCACAGCGUGCUGCUGCCGUGUGCUGCGAUGUGCGGCGGCCGCCUUAUUAUCAGUCCUCCCCGUCUGCUCCUUUUAUCUGGUUUUACCUCCAUCAGGCCGCCGUGGAACGGAUCCAUCAUCACAGGGGAGCGCUAUGUGCAGCAGGGAGGUGACACGUCUUGGAGCGCGUCUUAACUGAGAUGGAGCAGAAACUCACAUGCUCACAUCACUGCCUGCUUGGUUUCUGGAAAUGCUGGUUCCUCCCAACAAAGGCUAAUCAUUCUCUGACUGGAUAGAGCCAGUGAGGUAAAAUUUGAGUAGGUUAAUGAGUUUUUCUAAAAUGCAGUAUAUGUUGUGUAAAGAUUGCUGUAGCCUAAGUUGUGCUGCAGGCAUCUGUUCAAAAGCAGAGUGUCUCUCAGACUCAACAACACACAGAGGCUUGUGUUGUAAUCACACUACGUCACAUCUGGAGGCUUGUAAUGGAUUCUGUUUGCUUAUGUUGUGUUUUCUUCAUUGCUUUCACAAAUGGGUGAAUUCUCACAUGCUUUCUUAAUAAACAGAGCUACAUAUGGACAACAUGACCGAUCAAAGCACUGAAGUACACAAGCAGAUUAUUCCUUUUUGUCGUUGGUCACAGCAAGAGGAUAAAGACCUUAUUGUGUUUUGGUAGAAAGGAGGUGUGGUUGCAAGGAGCUAGAAUGGUGAGGAGGGGGAAAACCGACUAACAACGCUGGCCAAGAAAAUGUGGUCUAAAUGAAACCAAAUGCAAAUUCCUUUGCAUCGACAUGGUUAACUCUUAAAAUGCUGUAUUUACUAAGAUAAAAAUAUGCAGACAAAAAAUACAACUAGUCUUUAAUAUGGACUAUUUGUGUAUAUUUAGUCAGGCACAUAGUCAAUGAUACAGAGUAUGUUUAUUUAAAAUCCGUCUGACAAUCUGUGGUUUUAUAACAAAUCUAAAGUGUUAGACUUCAGAUGUUAUUUACAUCACUAUAUCGAUUAUUCUUCACUCAAGGAUUGUACUUAUCAUCAAUAGAAGCUCCUUAAACACUUUAGGAGAAGAAGCAGAUCUGGAUCUGCCGCCAACCUGACUGGGUCUCUGGACCAGUGAUUCCAGCACUCAUCUCUCAGCUUGGCUAAUGGGGAAAUAUAAUUAUUCAAACUGGCCUGAAGGCCUGGCCAUGUAACCAAGUCUUUACUAGAUUUCCU